CGCGAAUGGCUCAUUAAACAGCUAUAAUUCACUCGAUCUUGACACAAUCCUACUUGGAUAACUGUGGUAAUUCUAGAGCUAAUACAUGCAUUAAAGCUCUGACCUCACGGAAAGAGUGCAUUUAUUAGAACAAAGCCAAGCGGCUUCGGCUGUUUUCGGUUGACUCAUAGUAACUGAGCUGAUCGCAUGGUCUUGCACCGGCGACGUGUCUUUCAAGUAUCUGCCGUAUCAACUUUCGAUGGUAGUGUAUCUGACUACCAUGGUGAUCACGCGUAACGGAGAAUAAGGGUUCGACUCCGGAGAGUUCGCCUGAGAAAUCGCGAACACAUCUAAGGAAGGCAGCAGGCGCGAAAAUUACCCACUCUCAGCACGAGGAGGUAGUGACGAAAAAUAACGAGACCGUUCUCUUUCGAGGCCGGUCAUCGGAAUGGGUACAAUUUAAACCCUUUAACGAGUAUCUAUGAGAGGGCAAGUCUGGUGCCAGCAGCCGCGGUAAUUCCAGCU
rnacentral:rRNA from 1 species